rnacentral:rRNA from 1 species
GUGGUAACGCGUGAGAAUCUGGCUUCAGGUCGGGGACAACCACUGGAAACGGUGGCUAAUACCGGAUGUGCCGCAAGGUAAAAGGCUUGCCGCCUGAAGAUGAGCUCGCGUCUGAUUAGCUAGUAGGUGGGGUAAAAGCCUACCUAGGCGACGAUCAGUAGCUGGUCUGAGAGGAUGAUCAGCCACACUGGGACUGAGACACGGCCCAGACUCCUACGGGAGGCAGCAGUGGGGAAUUUUCCGCAAUGGGCGAAAGCCUGACGGAGCAAUACCGCGUGAGGGAGGAAGGCUCUUGGGUUGUAAACCUCUUUUCUCAGGGAAGAACACAAUGACGGUACCUGAGGAAUAAGCAUCGGCUAACUCCGUGCCAGCAGCCGCGGUAAUACGGAGGAUGCAAGCGUUAUCCGGAAUGAUUGGGCGUAAAGCGUCCGCAGGUGGCUAUGUAAGUCUGCUGUUAAAGAGUGAGGCUCAACCUCAUAAGAGCAGUGGAAACUACAUGGCUAGAGUGCGUUCGGGGUAGAGGGAAUUCCUGGUGUAGCGGUGAAAUGCGUAGAUAUCAGGAAGAACACCGGUGGCGAAAGCGCUCUGCUAGGCCGCAA